AAUUGGAUUGAUUUUAAAGGAAAAACCAUGCUGCAGAUGCGAGAGGACGAGCUGCAGUGACCUGCGAUGGAUCGGCCAUGGAUCUCGAGAGACAUAAAGAUAAUAAUCAUAAUAAUAAUUCUCAACUUCUGUUACCUUUGAGGUGUGUGUGUGUGUGUGUGUGUGUGUGUGUGUGUGUGUGUGUGUGUGUGUGUGUGUGUGUGUGGUCCUUUGUGUGAGGAUUAGGCCUGCUUGAAGUUUUACUGACAUUGUUCUUGUAAUUACAAUGAACUUCAAACCAACUUAUUUUCUUGGAAUCUUCUUGAUGUCAGAAACAUCUUACGUUUUCUGGCCUUUUGUUUUCCAACAGAGAGAAGAAUCACAACAGGGGGGGGUCCAGGAGCCAAGGAAGGAUGAAGGGCGUGAAUGUGGAGGUGUGAAAGCCAGGGCGGCCCUUGAAGCCAGGUGAAGCACAAUGAGGAGACUCAUUCAUCUUUGGAGCAGCAGUAGACAAGGACCAGAGGACCAACAGAGACGAGAAUCACCACAGGAGUCCAGGAAGAAACAGGAAGGAUGAAGGUGUGAAUACAGAGGUGUGAAAGCCAGGGCGGCCCUUAAAGCCAGGUGAAGCACAAUGAGGAGACUCAUUCAUCGUUGGAGCAGCAUCAGAGAAGGACCAGAGGACCGCCAACGAACAUUGAUUCCCGAACAAGGUACGACACCAACACCAUAAUGUUAACUUUUGCUGCUUUGUCCAUGAAAUACAGCGACUCACUGCUGUUACUUAUUUCUGCAUUGGAAUUAGAUUUAUUUUAAAGAUGGACAACCGCACUCUUUGCGAACCAGCAGGGACGAGCAUUUGCACUAAAAGAAAAGUUCUUCGAAACAUGGCCAGCCAGACUGAAGAGAAAGUACUCCACAACAGAGCCACACAGACAGGAGAGGAGGCAUCCGGGUGCAGCACAUGGAAACCACUGCUGACGAUGAUGGCAACCAUCAAACGCCACAGUGUUUUAAAGGUCUGCCCCUAUUGCAAGUCCUCUGUCCUCUCGUACGGACAUUUCAUUCAUAAGAAUGAAAUAUACUGCGAGGGGACAGGGGAGACCCUGGGCCUCUGGCUUCAUGAGAGGCAGGUCUCGAGGACAACGAGGUGGAGGUUGGAAACCACCUUCAACAAUAUGAAAAAAGGUAUUGUCCCGGGGCCUGCUUCCAGGAGGCACUGUCCUAAGUGUGGGCAGCAGAAGACCAGAGAAACGGGCCACACAAUACUGAGGUCGGCCAGGGCAAGCUUUUGCCAGCGCACUGACCCGCAGGGCAGAACGGUGGAGGAGUGGCUGACCCAAAUGCGGGGUGGCAUCACCAGUUAGGACAUGAAGGAGAUGGCGCUCUCUGCCCGGCGGGUCCAGGCCAAGGCAAAGCGGGACCGGCAGAAGAUGGAGAGACAGGCGGAGCGAGAUGGUGGACAGAGUGGGCGAAGAGGCGAGGGCUGAUGGCGUCACCAAGAAUGCCGUCAUCCAGAGGAGGCGAAGGGCACAGGCACGGAAAGUGCGCGAUGACUUGUUUGGCCACAAAGCCCCUUCUGUGCAUGAUAGAGUGUUGAAUGUGUGUGUGUGUGUGUUUGCAGUGUUUAAGUUAAGUUUUUGUAUUUAUUUGUGCAGCGUGUUUAUAAUUUUGUGUUUGCAGUGUUUUAAGUUACUUUUUUUUAUUUAUUUAUGCGGCGUGUUUAUAAUUUUGUGUUUGCAGUGUUUUAAGUUACUCUUUUUAUUUAUCUAUUUAUGCAGGAGUUUUAUAGUGUUUAAGUUACUUUUUUUUUCAUUUAUUUAUGCGGCGUGUUUAUAAUUUUGUUUGCAGUGUUUAAGUUACUCUUUUUAUUUAUCUAUUUAUGCAGGAG
rnacentral:lncRNA from 1 species